rnacentral:rRNA from 1 species
UGGGGAAUAUUGGACAAUGGGCGGAAGCCUGAUCCAGCAACGCCGCGUGAGGGAUGACGGCCUUCGGGUUGUAAACCUCUUUCGGUGGGGACGAAGCGGAAGUGACGGUACCCACUAAAGAAGCACCGGCCAACUACGUGCCAGCAGCCGCGGUAAUACGUAGGGUGCGAGCGUUGUCCGGAAUUAUUGGGCGUAAAGGGCUCGUAGGCGGUUGGUCACGUCGGGAGUGAAAACGCACAGCUUAACUGUGUGCUUGCUUCCGAUACGGGCUGACUAGAGGUAUGCAGGGGAGAACGGAAUUCCUGGUGUAGCGGUGAAAUGCGCAGAUAUCAGGAGGAACACCGGUGGCGAAGGCGGUUCUCUGGGCAUGACCUGACGCUGAGGAGCGAAAGUGUGGGGAGCGAACAG